UACGUCGGGGGCUAGCGUUGUCCGGAAUCAUUGGGCGUAAAGAGCGCGUAGGCGGCCAGAUAAGUCCGGUGUGAAAGUCAAAGGCUCAACCUUUGAAUGCCGCUGGAAACUGUCUGGCUAGAGUCCGGAAGGGGCGAGUGGAAUUCCUGGUGUAGCGGUGAAAUGCGCAGAUAUCAGGAGGAACACCAAUGGCGAAGGCAGCUCGCGGGGACGGCACUGACGCUGAGACGCGAAAGCGGGGGGAGCAAACAGG
rnacentral:rRNA from 1 species